rnacentral:tRNA from 1 species
ACGCCGUCGGGUCGGUGCCCCAGGUGGCCAGCGUCCACCAGUCGCCGGUGACAUCGUCGAGCAGGACGUUCGUGGCGUCCGCGGUGUUC